rnacentral:rRNA from 1 species
AUACGUAGGGAGCGAGCGUUGUCCGGAAUUACUGGGCGUAAAGGGCGUGUAGGCGGAGAUCUAAGCAGGGUGUGAAAACUAUGGGCUCAACCCGUAGCCUGCAUUCUGAACUGGAUCCCUUGAGGGCAGGAGAGGAAAGUGGAAUUCCUAGUGUAGCGGUGAAAUGCGUGGAUAUUAGGAGGAACACCAGUGGCGAAGGCGACUUUCUGGCCUGUACCUGACGCUGAGGCGCGAAAGCGUGGGGAGAAAACAGGAUUAGAUCCCCUGGUAGUCCACGCCGUAAACGAUGAAUACUAGGUGUAGGGGGUAUCGACCCCUUCUGUGCCGUAGUUAACACAAUAAGUAUUCCGCCUGGGGAGUACGGCCGCAAGGUUGAAACUCAAAUGAAUUGACGGGG